rnacentral:rRNA from 1 species
GACGAACGCUGGCGGCGUGCUUAACACAUGCAAGUCGAACGGAAAGGCCCUGCUUUUGUGGGGUGCUCGAGUGGCGAACGGGUGAGUAACACGUGAGUAACCUGCCCUUGACUUUGGGAUAACUUCAGGAAACUGGGGCUAAUACCGGAUAGGAGCUCCUGCUGCAUGGUGGGGGUUGGAAAGUUUCGGCGGUUGGGGAUGGACUCGCGGCUUAUCAGCUUGUUGGUGGGGUAGUGGUUUACCAAGGCUUUGACGGGUAGCCGGCCUGAGAGGGUGACCGGCCACAUUGGGACUGAGAUACGGCCCAGACUCCUACGGGAGGCAGCAGUGGGGAAUAUUGCACAAUGGGCGGAAGCCUGAUGCAGCAACGCCGUGUGCGGGAUGACGGCCUUCGGGUUGUAAACCGCUUUCGCCUGUGACGAAGCGUGAGUGACGGUAAUGGGUAAAGAAGCACCGGCUAACUACGUG